GGCCGAGAUAGCUCAGUCGGUAAAGCAGAGGACUGAAAAUCCUCGUGUCACC
rnacentral:tRNA from 1 species